rnacentral:lncRNA from 1 species
UUGAUAUGAUAUUAUAAAUUUGAAUUUAAUUGAGUCGAAUACCGAUUUUGAUGGUAUGAUAAAAAAACUCAAAACAAAUAAACACCACCGUCCAUUCCAACUCAGCCGACGUUGUUGAUUCCUUCAACCACUCAUAUCUUGCCAUCUAAGACCCCAUCUUCAAUCAGAAAAAAAGCCUUAUACUUUUUAUGAAAUCAAUGUAAAUAAAUUAUAAUUCGUACCAAACAAAAUUUUCAAUUGGUUAGGUAGGAGAAAUUAAAGAACCUUAUAGCUAUAGGCCACACCCCACCCCACCC